rnacentral:rRNA from 1 species
GUAGGGUGCGAGCGUUAAUCGGAAUUACUGGGCGUAAAGCGUGCGCAGGCGGUUUUGUAAGCCAGAUGUGAAAUCCCCGGGCUUAACCUGGGAAUGGCAUUUGGGACUGCAAGGCUGGAGUGCGGCAGAGGAGACUGGAAUUCCUGGUGUAGCAGUGAAAUGCGUAGAUAUCAGGAGGAAUACCGAUGGCGAAGGCAGGUCUCUGGGCUGACACUGACGCUCAUGCACGAAAGCGUGGGGAGCAAACAGGAUUAGAUACCCUGGUAGUCCACGCCCUAAACGAUGUCGACUGGUUGUUGGGGGUUUGACACUCUCAGUAACGAAGCUAACGCGUGAAGUCGACCGCCUGGGGAGUACGGCCGCAAGGUUA